UCCAAUAACAUUGUUCGUAGAAGAUGAUGACAUGUGUCUCGGCGAACUGAUCACGUUUUGUGCUGUCGUAUCCGAAGAUAGUUGAAUUGUACAGUUACGGACGAAAACGACACCCAUGGGAAACGAGGACGAACUCGCCAAUGACCAUAGGGAAAGAGACCACUCGAUGUUGGGGUCCCUUUGAAUGCAUGCAGCACGGAACGGUCCCGGAAAUCAGUCCCGUCACGCAGACCGGAAGCUGAACGUUGCUAUAGCAAAGGAUUGACAUCCCGUCGCCCGUCUAAAAUAAUUAUGCCACUUGUUUUAACACGUUGUAAAUUAAAUUGUAUCAUAUAAUAAAAUCAAUGUCUCACGUUAA